UAAACCCGACAAUUUUGUCGGUUAUCUUUAUUUGUCUUUUGAAAACUUUUCUCUUUGUUUGAAUGAAGCUGGCACGCCUCAUCCUUCUCCAUCUUAAGCGCGUCAAACGCCCGAAUCGCUCAAUUCGCACCGCGUCAUUCACGCGAAUCGCGCCGCAGGGAGUCAGUUCGCGUCUUUGCAUUGACUUAACAUGUAAAUCACUCGCGCUUAUCGCUUCAUUCGCGUCUGGUGUGAACGCAGCAUUAGCCUUUAUGUAACCAUCGUGUUGCCCGGGGUGACGCGUCUUCAAAUGCUUUAUCAAGUUAUUUGUGUUAAAGUUGCCAAUACUUGUGCCACUCGAAAUUGCAGCAUUGCAUAUGAGACAUGUCGCCGUUUUACUGGUCUGAAAUACUGCCAAACAGCAGACAUACUGCUAGCGCGUUUUCACUUCUCCGCUGCUCUAAACAGUGGUUGCUUGUGGCAACGCAGCACAACUUCCUGUGUUUGCAUUGUGAGCCGCGAAGAAUAAUUGAUUUCCGAUUUGCUGCGUUAAGCAAAGAUAGCGGGCACAACUAUGUGUUGUUUAAGAAAAUGGUAUCGGAUCGGUACGUGAGUUUAAAUACUCGCCGAUACCGAUGCCAGAAAUUUUUGUGGUAUCGGUGGUAUUUCCGAUACUAGUAUCGGAAUCGGAACAACCCUAAAUACAAUCCAACCCCAACGUUCAACCCCCCCAAAGUUGAAACCAAAUCUACGCCCUUUAAUUCAAGUGUGUUUGAUCAGGGUUGUAGCUAUACUGUGUGAGGACAACUGCACUCAAGGACCAGUGUUAGAACUGGUACACCAUUGUCAUUUAUGAAAACAAAAUGGCGGCGCCAUGUGUGGAAACAUACAGAUUCAGGGGACGGAAAUAUUAUAAUUAGAUCCCCUUCCUACGUCACAAGCAGAAUCCAAACCAUGAUUGAUGCUGGGCCAGCUUCACACAUUACUUCUGGCUAUACACACAGUGAAGCUUGUGUUUGUCUCACCUGAAUGGCUGAGUGAUGGACUGCGCGUCAUUACCGACGAUGUACGUUAGUCAAAACGGAGCCUGAAGACUUGGCACGCACCUAUUCUAAUGGCUCCGAGAUGGCCUGUAAUACAGUUCUAUGGAUGUUUUGCCCGCCUCCGGUCUCCGUGACAGUCACGUGACUGAAAACUAUGAACUGACUGGAUGAUUGUGGUUUGCUUUUGGUGGAUCUCACGUGAGUGACAGGUUGUCCCACCCUCCCGCCAGUUAUUUGGAUUAAAGUUUACGAGGGCACAUGAUUUUUUUUUUUUUAAAUGACGU